UUUGUUUACUCACGAACCCUCUGAGGUGAUGAUUAUGUAUAUGGAUGAUGCGGUAUUUGCCAGUUUGUUGGUAAUCGGUGGUGCUCUGGUUUUCUUUGGUGGCGUGAUUUACUUCAUCAUGAAUGAUAAGCCAAAGCAGUAAUUCGUUACAGUUGCAUACUUUCGGUAAUCGUUAUUUAAG
rnacentral:sRNA from 1 species